UACGGAGGAUCCGAGCGUUAUCCGGAUUAUUGGGUUUAAAGGGUGCGUAGGCGGCCUGUUAAGUCAGGGGUGAAAGACGGUAGCUCAACUAUCGCAGUGCCCUUGAUACUGAUGGGCUUGAAUGUACUAGAGGUAGGCGGAAUGUGACAAGUAGCGGUGAAAUGCAUAGAUAUGUCACAGAACACCAAUUGCGAAGGCAGCUUACUAUGGUAUUAUUGACGCUGAGGCACGAAAGCGUGGGAUCAAACAGG
rnacentral:rRNA from 1 species